rnacentral:tRNA from 1 species
CCUGCUGUGGUAGCUCAGAAUAUGUGCCGUGAAACGGCAUAGGUAGAGCACAUAAAAACGGAGUCUUGGAAAAGGCUCUUGCAGCAAAUAUAUAUGAAACGGUGGUGUCAUGGGUUCGAAUCCCAUCCCGGCAGGA